CAUAAUCCGAGAGAUUGAAAACCCCAGAUAAGUGCAUUGCCUCAUCAACCAGCGGCUUAAAAUCGAUUUUAUCAUACAUGGACCGCCCGAAUAACACUUUCGACAUCAUUUCUUCAAGAACCUUAGCCACCGCCUGGCUAAGGUUUAUUGUUUCACCCGCCGCCGCUACCUUCCUCACUGAUUCAACCAAUAACCCCACCUCCGCCUUCCUUAUCGGGGCAAAACAUUCAACUUUGGAAGCACUGAGGAAAUGCAAAAUACACCAUUUCCGUACAGUUCGCCAGUAAGAACCGUACUGGGUAAAAGCCACGGCCUUGCCACCAUAUGCGAAGUAUUUCGCGGAUUGGACUUUAGGCCUGGAAGCAAAAACGACGUCAUGGACCUUGAGGAACAGUUCAGCGGCUUCGGGUGAUGAUACCACGAUGGUUGGUACUUUGCCUAGCAUUAUCGACAUGAUGGGUCCAUAUUUUUUGGCGAGAUAGUGAAGACUUUGGUGUGGGAGGUUCCCUAGCAUGUGGAUGUUACCUAUGAUGGGAAGAGGGGCAGGACCGGGUGGAAGUUUCCGGCCAUUUUUGUUGCGGUUUGGUGAGCUGAAGAAGUAGAUAAAGGAACAGAGAGUUCCAAGGAGGACAAAGAGUAAGGUUAAUGUUGAAGAAGACAUUUGGGAGGGAAGCCAAUCACAAUAGCUGAUAGCCAUUGGGGAUUGAUUGAUUGAUUGAGUACUUGUAGAUGGAAGCAACCGAUGGCAGCUGCAAGUCGGGAGAAUUCGCCAAAUAUGUCGAUUUUAACAAAAACUACGGAGUUCGACUUUUUUUUUUUUUUUAAAUGUAAGGAAAUAAGUUGAUUUUGGCUCAUACAUGGGUAAAAGCUUUGCGGGCUUAAUUUGCCAGUUGAAUUACUUAGCGUGGUAAGAAAAUAUUAUUAUAAUUUUGAUUUUAAUUAAUAUUAUUUUUAAGUUUUUAAUGUUAUUAUAUUUUUUUUAUUUUUUAUGUUUAUAUAAUCAAGAAGAUCAAAUUAUUGAAAUUUAUAUACACACAAUUUAAGUGCAAGAGCACCACGUGUUAUUGAACAAUGCUUGAAAGAGGUGAGAUUCUUACACGUGUCUCAUAUGCUCAACGAGACUAAAUUGGAGUCUGCACUUGUCAGUGCUUUGCUGGAGAGAUGGAGAUCCGAAACACAUACAUUCCAUCUAUCAUGCAGUGAGUGUACGAUUACAUUUAAGGAUGUAUCAUUACAACUCGGUCUGCCAAUUGAUGAGGCUGUCAUUACAGGAGUGGUGCACAUUGGGGAUUGGAGGCCAAUUUGCCACCAGCUAUUAGGCAAGGUGUCAAACAAGUUUAGUGGUAAUCAAAUAUAUAUGAAAUGGUUAGAAGAUAAUUUCUCACAUCACAAAACUCUUCUAGUGCAGUUGAAAGACAACAAUUAACUCGGGCAUUAAUUUAUACCUUCUAAUGCCAUAUAAAUCUCAAAAUUUGAUACAUUUAAGGGGACUCUUAUAACUAAUCGACCUAAAAGAAACUGGGCAACUCAGUUGGAGAUCAAUUGUCUUGGUUACAUUGUAUCGAAAGUUGUGUUGGACAAUAGAAGCACAAAAAUUAAAAUCGUUGGUUGUAUAUUCCUUCAAUCAUGGGUAUAGUAUCGUUUACCAUUUUUACAUCCCGAGGAAACUCCCAUUAUCAAUUAUUACUCGUAAUAAGGUAACAUUCAUUUAAUAAUAUAGUUAUCAUAUUAUCUUUUUUCAUUAUUAUAUUUUUGGAAUAACAUAUUAUUUGAACAGAUAGAAAAAUAACGCGAGUCCUGUGGGUAUACCAAAUAAACUUGAAGAUAUUUGGUUAUUGUUAAAUCAAUGGUUAAUAGUCGAGGUCAGUUUUUGAAUUUUUUUUAAUUACAUAAUAAUUAUUUAAGGAUUUGAAAUUUAAUAUUAGGUGUGUAUGAAAUUUAUAAUUUCAUAUUAUAAUUUAAAUGGAUGUCAUACUCUGAUCCGAGAAUUGAAGAAUGCAUCCCGUCUAAAUUUUUGACGAAUCAUAAUAUCUUACAUGUCAAAGUGUCAUUAAUAGUUUUUGCAUUGUCUAUUUUUAAUAAAUAUAUUUGAGGUAAAGUUUUUUUUUUUAUAUAUUCUAUUUGAACUUUUUUAUAUUUAAAAAAAAUAUACAUACUUUUCAUAUAUAUUUUUUAAGAACUAGGACCAAAUUAAUAGAAUAUAUAAACAUUGAUGGUUUAAUUUGUUACUAUAUCAAUUAAAAUUAUGUACAAUUGAUGGAAAAUAUUAUUUUUGAUGAUUAAUUGUCCUUAGUUGCUCACUUUUAAAAUGAACAAUGAUUAAAUAGCUUUGUUGUUUUCAGUAGGACCAAUUUGCUUAAUAUCAAAAUUGAGAGAAACUAAAAAAAAUUUACCUAAAUCUGCUCGUCUAUAUGGGAAGGCUUUCCUUCUUUUAGCUACAAUUGUAUUUAUUAAUUCAUAGAUUUGUCCGGAUAACAAAAAAGUGAUAAUCAAUUAUAAUGAGACAAUGGCUAUUAUUUGCAGAGACCACUGGAUCAAUCACAAAUGCCGACACCUAAAAUCAUAUAGUUAUUUUGGAUAAAUCUAACGUGAUGUAAAGUAUAUAUAUUUAUAAAAAAUUAUAAAUUAUAAUAUCGUAUAAUAAAAUAAUAUAUGAAUUUUAAUUGUAUUGGGUAACAUGUAUUUGUUUUCAACAUACCAUAAUUCUGGGAAGGAAAAUGUGGAUACAGGUAUAAGUUGGACAAGAAGUUAUAAGUGGUUGAACACGGUAUGAUUGCAUGAUGUGAGGGUGACAACUAACUAGUGGACAUGUCCAAGUAGAGGAUGGAUUAAACUUAAUACAGAUAGAGUUGUAUCCAGAAAUAACUCAUUUGCGGGCAUUGGGGGAGUGUUUAGAGGUGCCAACAGCAAGUGGUUAGGUGGUUUGUCGAUGAAGUUAGGAAAGGAUUCAAUUUUCAAGAUUGAGGCGAGAGCCUUACUUAAAGGCCUACUUAUAUCAUGGAGGAAAGGUUAUCGACAAUUGGAAGUGGCCAGACACGCAAAUAGACCCUUCCACAAAAACACGCGGAUCCUGAGGUUGGAGUGGGUCAGGUCGCGGGUUGGCCCCCCAAAACGACGCCGUUUUGGGCGUCUAGGGGCCUAAUGAAACGACGCCGUUUUGAUAACUCCAUUUAAGCCCAAAUUUUUUUAAAACUUCAUUCCAGUCUUUGUUUUUUAAUAAACUCAAAAAAAAAACCUCUCAACUCUCUCUCAACUCCCCAAAAUUCGGUCAGCUUAGGUUGCCGGACCACCGUGGCGGCCGCCGGUCACCGGCGACGGCGCCGCCGCCCACAAUGGCCAAAAAACCAAAAAAGCCUAUUUUUUGGGGUUUUUUUGACUCCCCGACUUCGAAUAACGCCGAUUUUCAUCGGAAUUGGCACCUCUCUCACCAAAGGUACGUUUUCAAUCCUUUUCUUUUUAUUUAUUUUUUGUUUUUUCCUUCUAAAAAAUAAUAAGAACGAAAGAAAAAGAAGAAAAAAUAAGGAAAAAAAAUCCCACUACCUUCGAAAAUCUAUUGAUUUUUUCUAUUCUCUUUCAUUCAUUCGUUCUUAUUAUUUUUUUUAGAAGGAAAAAACAAAAAAUAAAUAAAAAGAAAAUGAUAGAAAACGUACCUUUGGUGAGAGAGGUGCCGAUUCCGAUUAAAAUCGGCGUUAUUCAAAGUCGGGAAGUCGAAAAACCCAAAAAAUGGGUUUUUUCAGUUUUUCGGCCACCGUGGGCUGCAGCGACGGCGCUGGGGACCGGCGGCCGCCACGGUAGUCCGGCGACCUAAGCUGACCGAAUUAUGGGGAGUUGAGAGGAUUUUUUUUGAGUUUUUUUAAAAAACAAAGGCUGAAAUGAAGUUUUUUUAAAAAAUUGGGCUUAAAUGGAGUUAUCAAAACGACAUCAUUUCAUUAGGCCCCCAAACGCCCAAAACGGCAUCGUUUUGGGGGGCCAACCCAUCACCAAACCCGCUCCAACCUCAGGAUCCGCGUGUUUUUGUGGAAGGGUCUAUUUGCGCGUCUGGCCCUUCCGCCUUUUUUAUUUACAAUUAAGUUUUUUUUUAUUUUUAUAAUUUUUCCCUAUAAUUUAUCUCGGCUUCCAUUUUAGUCCCUAAUUGAACUUGUUGGGCGGGGAUUAUUGCUCAUUUGGUCCAUCCUUGUUAUUCGCGCAUUCAACUUGGUCCUUUUCCUCUUUAUUUAUUUCUAAUUUUCCCCAAAUUUAUGUUUUAAGUUCGAUUUGGCCCUUUUUUGUUAUUUUGCUAUUUUACUAUUAAAUUAAUUAAUUUAAUAUUAUUAUCACUAUUAUUAUUUUUCUUUUUCUUUUUUACCUAAAUAUUUCAAAUACAUUUAUUUUAUUUUUAUCCCCUAUUUAUUUAUAUUCUGUUUUAUAAUUUUAAAACUUUAGAUCAUUAUUAUUAUUACUAUUAAUCAUCAUUAAUUUUAAUAUUUUUUUUUAAAAAAAUUGUUUAUACAAUAUUUAUUUAUUUAUUUAAUAUUAGGUCUUUAACUUCAAAUUUAGUUUAUUAUUUCAUCAUUUGUCUUUUUAUUUUUAUUUAUUAUUAUCAUUUUGGCUUGUUUAUCGUAUUUUAUUUUCAUUCUUUAUAUUGGCGUUCACAUUCUACUAUGCAUAUCAACACUGUAAUUCAUUUCAUAUUUCACUACCAAUUCGUGAUAUUUCAAUCCUUCUCCGAUAUACAAACUUCAUUUUUAAUAAUACGCAAUAUUUCGUAUUUUGGAAUUCGAAAAGGUUGUUCCCUAACUUACGGGAUUUUGGUUUUUUCCGAUGAAUCCGAAUAUACGAAUCAUUUUUCAAAAACACAUUUUUUUAAAUUAUCUCAGGAAUUAAUAAGACUGUGUUCUAACUUAUGGAAUAUGGUCUUUUCUAAAACCUAAAUAAUAAAAUAUCUUUCAAAUAAGUAAAUUUUUUCGACAUUUAUUCUCGUAUCGGGAAUUUAAGACAUUGUGUCCUAACUUACUGGACAUAAUUCUCUUUCUCGAUUAAAAGUGAAAUGUGCCCCCUUUUUUUGAAAUUUUUUAAUAUUUUAACAAAAGAUCGUAUUUUAAAUUCUUUUUGAGUUUUCAACUUUCGACAUUAAGACACUAAUUAAUCAACUAGGUACUAAUUUUUGGGCGUUACAAGGGUGCUAAUCAUUCAUCGUACGUAACCAACUCCCGAACCCAUCUUUCUGAAUUCCGUGGACCAAAAUUGUUGUUUUAAUAAAUCAAAUUUGUAAGAGCCCAUUUUUGCCCGGGCCCAAAAUAGAGACCCAAAAUCCAAAAUAAAACAGUCCAUUACAGUAGUGGCCCAAACCCAAAAUAAAAAUAAAACCCAAAAUAUAUAUAUAAUAGUCCAAAAUUAUAGUCUAAUGGGCCCGAACAGCCCAAACCAAAAAUCUAGGCCCGAUUGACCCACCCCUCAAACAUUUCAAAAAAAAACCCUAGCAGCCCCUACUGCCCAUGUGCGCUGCUCAGCCUCCUCGCACGCCCCCUGGCCAUCGUUGUUGCUUGCCUAUCGCCUCAUCCGCAUGCUCUGACACCUCUCUGCCAUCACCUGCAAAAGCAGACAACAAGCAAACAAACAAAUCACAAGCAAACAAAAUAGAGGAAAAUAGUUUUGUAUUUCGGCUAUAAAGCCAAAAUCAGAUGCCUGUAUUUUUUUUCCUUUUUUUACACACAUCAGUUAAUCAAAAACAGAACAAAGAUUUGAAAAGGUUGCAAAAUCUUAUCGUUUUUUAUUUCGUUUCUCUGUUUCCUUUUUUUAUUUUAUUUAUCCAUUUGUUCAUUUCUUUUACAAACCAGUUUCAACAAAUAAUAGGGAAUAGAAAAAGGAAAAAGGAAGGAAAACUUGCCUGAAAAGCCCAUCGGUCGCGUCGUCGGAGGUCUCACCGUCGCCGAAAUCAGCCUUAAAAGGUGGGUUUGGGGGGUCUUUUCUCUCGGCCUUCGGGCUAAAGAAGUUUGGCCUUCGAAGGGAUUUGAAACAGAGGCAUGAAAAUCGCCCUUUGCGCAACGCCGGCCACGGCGGCGCGGCGGCGGUGGCCAUGGCCGAAACUCUAUGGCCGGAUGUGGGGGGAGAGUAUUUGAGAGAGUGCUGCAUUUUUUUUCCUUUGGAAAUGAAAGAGAAUGAAUUUUUUAAAAAAAAUUUGGAUUAUAUAAGUGCACGAAACGAUGCCGUUUUGCGCCAACGCACAUCGUCGUUGAAACGACGCCGUUUGGCCUAGGGACCCGAAGACCCGACCCGCAUUCAUGGGAUCCACGUGUUUUCUGAUGUGAGGGGAUAUUUGUGCAAUAGGCCCCUCCUGCUUUGCGGCGUGUUCAAUGCGAUCCUUUUUAUUUUUAUUUUUGAUUUUGGCCACAAAGUUUACUUCCGAUUCAAUCUGGUCCUUCAACCAUGUGCAGAUGCUACCCCUUAGAGCGACACCGUUUAAAGGACGAGGAAUAUUUCCGUUUUGGUCCUCAGCCUUCGCGCACCUUUGAUUUUGGUCCUAUUCGUUUAUUUUAUUACAGUUUUUACUUUAAAUUCCAUUUUUGUCCCAAUUUAAUCCCUAAUAUGUUUUAUUUUAACCUUAAUCUUUUUUCUUCAUAUUAUCAUUUUUAACAAUUUUCAUUUUUAUAUAUCUUUUUUAUUUAUUCAUUUUUUAAUUUUAUAAACAUUAUUUAUAAUAAACCGUACUAUAUCAUUUUAGAUAUUAUGUGUUUUAAAUUAUUCCAUAUAUUAUUUAUGUUGAAUUGCUAUAUAUGUUAUGUUAUCUUAAACGUUUCAUAGAUGUGUAUUAUUUCGUUUACUCAUAUUUCCAUGCUAUGGUAAUCCAUUCGUAUAUCAUGUUGUUCGAAAAUCAUUUCACCAUAUUAUAAAUUGUCACCCCCAUCAACGCAACCCUUUUGUUCACGCAUUAUUUCAAACAUUACAUUUUUACCCAAACAUGCAAAAAUGAAAAUUUCAAAUAAGGCAAUAUUUUGUGUAUUGGCGAUUCUAGAAAAUUGUACCCUAACUUACGGGGUUUCGAUUUUCCUCGAUAAAUCUAAAUACAUGAAUAUUUUCAAACAAAAGUUUUUAAAUGUUCUCGACAAUUAAAGAUCGUGUUUUAACUUACGGAAUAUGAUCUUUUCUAAAAUCGAGAUAAUCGAAUGUCUUUCAAAUAAGUAAAUUUUUCGGCAUGUAUUCUUGUAUCAGGAAUUCGAUACGUUGUGUCCUAACGCAUUGGAUAUGACAUGUUGUUUUCUCGAUAUGAGGAUUUUUCUAAAAAUAAUAAAGGCAAUAUUUUGCCUUUGGAAAUUCGAGAAAGCGUGCCCUAACGUGCUGGGUUUCGAUUUCUCGUUUGACCAAAUAGCCAAAUAUCCUCUUAAAACUUCAAAGUAUAGGUUUUUGAAACCAUAUGGUGAUCUUGGUUUCGAUGGUUUAAAGUAUUGUGUCCUAACGUGCUGGAUGUGAUAUUCCUUCAGAACAAGAGAAUCUUAAAUUUCAAUCCAUGUUAUUCGAGUUUUUUUUAAGGAUCGUAUUUUUAAAACUCUUCAAAGUUUUCAACCUUUGGCACUAAGACACUAAUUAAUCAACUAGGUACCAAUUUUGGGGGCAUCAAUAGUGCUAAUCCUUUCUCGUGCGUAACCGACUCCCGAACCCGUUUUCUGAUUUUCGUAGACCAAAAUCGAUGUUUUGAUAAAACCAAAUUGUUUAUUAAAACAACCAUUUUUUGAGGUGGUCCGAUCACACUACAUCAAAAAAUAUUGGUGGCGACUCUCAUUUUCGUCGACCUCGUUUUAUCAAAAAAUGGUGUCAACAGCUUGGCGACUCCACUGGGAAACUUAAAAAGAGAGUCAAGCCACGUGUUGAUUACUUUUUGUCUUUUUGUCAAAAAUUAAAAACUUGGUUUAAGUGUACGAUCCUUUCAUUGCAUUACAUUCGUCUUUAUUUCGGUAUUUAUCAUUGUGGUUUAUAACUACUGUGUUAAUUCAAGUUUGGAUAUAUUUCUGCGCAUUACAUUGCAUGAUCGGUAGAUCUUACCCUUCUAAGUGGGAGUGAGAAACUACGCCUUCGUGAGGUUUUCACCUCCGCAUGGGAUAGUGAAUCGCUUUCGGGAUACAUCCGUACCUAUGUCUUCGUGAGGUUUUCAUCUCCGCAUGGCCAUAGGGAAAUGUAUUCUCCUGAACUAAACUCUAUCCAUAUGAGCCUAUAAUGGGUGAGGAUCGAGGAAUCUGCCUGUUCGGGUACCUUUACUUUAGAACCAAACCGUAUAUAGUGAGCCCUAAGAACCUAUCCUAGGUAGAACCAUGCCAAAACCUUAGUGGUCACCCGAUUAGGUGCUCUAUUUGUUUCUUUCUUACUUACUUUUGCUUUGUAAUAACCCGUUUUGUUUUGUUUCGGUUAUGAUUACAUUGCAUUUUUCAUUAAAUAGAAAAGAGGUGUUGAUUCACGUUCAAGUAUCUAAAUAGAGAGCUUGUCAUAAGAAAAUGAGUUUCUUGAUAAAAUGAAAGACAAUGCGGUCGUCCGAAUAUGGUCCGAGAAAAUGUAACGAGGGAAGGGUGAUAGUCUGGUGAAUGAGUACACGACUUGCCUCGUUUCCCGAAGACUCAAGCUGACGAAGACUAUUUAAGAGCCGUUAGCGUCAACUUUCUUAAAGAAGCCAAUGAGCAUCACGAGAAUGAGUGAACAAUGAGUCGUAGCUCAGAUCAAGUAAAAAGGAGAUAGAGGAGGUACCAUUUUAAAGAGUUUUCGAGAUUCAAUCUUAACAUAUGGUUUGAAGAAAGGGGUCGAUGUCUUCGUCUAGAAAAUUAGGGCAAGGCCGUAUAUGUAAAUUUCCGUUUUAUGUAAAGAGAUUUAUUUUCUAGUAAAGUUGUUCUAAUAGAAUUGAAUUAGAAUCAACGUCUCUUUUUGCAUUCAUGCAUCAACAUUACAUUUCAUUGCAAUAAAUAAAUUUCCUAAAAUCCAAAAGUGCAUAGAGUUCAGAACUCUAGUAUAGAGCCAUAUGGAUGAUAAAGAAUUGGAUUUCUUUAAAUAUAUCGAUGGUUCGAAAGGUAAAGAUGUUUGUGCCUUUGAAGAAGAAACUAAAAAACUAUCAGGAAUUUGUUUCUACAUCCCUAGAGGUGUUCUAAACAACUGGACUGUGGAGUAAAUUCUUGUAGUUUUUAGGACCAUUUUAGAGUAAUAUUCAGAACACUCUUAUUGCUCUAAGCCUAGGAGCAAUAGAAAAUCUUUUUGUGAAAAAGGCACAUGUCCACUAUUUUUUAUUUCAACGAAAUGCAUCUUUGUGUCCUGUUUUGGCAAACAUUCUUUUGUUUUUUCCAUUUUAUUCAUACUCAUACCACACAAAUAAUUCCCCUUUGAUUCAUUUGUUCUUUGAGUCUUCUUUCGUUCCUUUAAUAGGUCUCUAGAUAUUAAUGAUAUGAGUGACACUGCUAUUGACUCAGAACCUUCUUUUGAGCAAGAUAUGUAUCCAGAGGAACCUCAGGACUUUGAAGAUGACCGAGACUAUAGCUUAUCUCCUGAUUGCUAAGGAUGGGAGAACAAGUCGAGAAACAAAUCCUGCUUUACAAAGAAUCAGUAAAAAUUGUGAGCUUAGAAGAAGAGAAAGAGGUGAAGAUCGGAGCAUGUAUCACCGCAGAGACAAAGCAAGACGUCAUGUAUUCGUUUGAUCGUAUCAAGAUAUGACUGAGCUACUAAGACUUGUAGACACUGUUGAGGCUAAAAAAAAAAGUGUUUGAGGAACACAUGCUAAUGGUUUUGCAAUGGCCAAGCAACUUAUGAGAUACUGUUGGUCCACCAUGGAAGGAGAUUGCAUCAGUUAUACCAAGCAAUGCAUAAGUGCCAAAUUUUUAGAGACAAGAUUCAUGUGCCUCAUUCAUCUCUUCUUGUUAUAACUUUUCGAUGGGCUUUCUCUAUGAGGGCCAUGAUGUCAUUGGGCUGACCUCGCCAAAAGCUUUUAGCAAUCAUCGAUUUAUCUUUGUGGUCGUCGAUUACUUCAUCAAGUGGGUAGAGGUUGUUUCAUAUGCCAAUAUCACAAAGUUAACAGUCAUCAAAUUUUUGAAAAAAGAAAUCAUAUGUCGGUAUGAAAUGCCAAAAAAGGAUCAUAUCUGACAAUGCACUGAAUUUGAACAACGGCAUAGUAUCAAAAGUUUGUAUUCUGUUCAAGAUUAAAUGAGUUAUCGACCCAAAGUAAACGAUGCAGUGGAGGCAAAAAAAGAAAAGAAAAAAUCCCUCUACUGGGGCAACUCAUUUCUCAUUGGUAUAUCAAACAGAGGUAGUUUUACCCAUUGAAGUUGAUAUUCCUUCCCUUCGAGUCUUGUUAGAGCUGAAGUUGGAUGAAGCUGAAUAGAUCCAAUCCCGAUAUAAUCAGAUAAAUUUGAUUGAUAAGAAAAGGUUGACAGCUAUCCGUCAUGGUAAAACGUACCAAAAGCGAAUGAUACGAGCUCACCAAAUAAGGUUCGCCCUAGAGAAUUCCAUGAGGGGGACCUGAUAUCGAAGAAGAUCCUUUCCAUACAAAAUAACUUCUAAAGAAAGUGGAUGCCAAACUGGAAAGGACCUUAUGUGGAAGGUCUUAUCUGAAAAAGCGUCGAUAUUGACCAAGAUGGACGGCAAGAACCUGCCUAGUCCUGUGAAUUCUGAUUCAAGCAAUAAAUACCUCACUUGAAAAAGAAACGAAAAAAAGAAAAGAAAAGAAAAAUAAAUAAAAAUAAAAAAUAGAGGCUAAGGCGAAAACCCGCAAAGGGCGCUUGAGAUCAAAGGGGUUUUGAAUUGAAAACCCAGAAAAGGGCAAUUCAAAAUUUUUAUCAAAGGUGGGGCAUGUGGUAAUCUUGUCCUCUCUGAAUUAGCAAGAAGGGGAGAUGCUACAUCUUGGGGCAUUAACAAAGUCUUCUAGGACCUCUAAACACAUAUCAAGUUCAAAAGGGUCCUCAAGAAGUUUGUGCAGAGAAGCUCGUGCUGCGAUAUCUGGGGCACCUGUUUGCAUCUCAAUUUGUCUAAAGCAAACACAACAGCUAAUAAUUUUUUCUCAGUGGUUGUGUAAUUGCUUUGGGCAUCAUCCAAAGUCUUCGAAGCAUAAUAGAUAACAUGAGGCUCUUUCCCUAUUCUUUGGCCAAGAAUAGCUCCCACACUUUGGUCACUUGCAUCACACAUGAUUUUGAAUGAGAAGUUCUAAUUUGGUGGUUACACUAUGGGAGCAGAAACCAAUUUCAGCAAGUCAAAUGCGUCUUUACAAGUUUGGUCAAAUUCAAAUUCUUUAUCCUUUUGUAUUAGAUUGCAAAUCGGUUGCACGAUCUUCGAAAAGUCUUUUAUGAAUCGUCUGUAAAAUCCUGCAUGGCCAAGAAACGAACGUACUCCCCUCACAGAUGUAGGGUAAGGUAAUGAGUCAAUAAUAUCCGUUUUUGCUUUAUCGACCUCAAUACCUUCUGAGGAAACUAUGUGACCCAAAAUUAAUCCUUUGUCAACCAUGAAGUGGCAUUUUUCAUAAUUUAAAACAAGAUUAAAUUCUAGGCAUCUUUGUAAUAUCUUAGCAAGAUUAUAGAGACAUUCGUUAAAAGAGUUACCGUACACCGUGAAGUCAUCCAUGAAGACUUCAAUGAUUUUCUUGACAUAAUCGAAGAAUAUACUUACCAUACAUCUCUGGAAAGUGGCCAGAGCAUUACAGAGUCCAAACGGCAUUCAUCUAUACGUAAACGUUCCAAAGGGGCACGUGAAAGUUGUUUUGUUUUGAUCCUCUAGAGCCACCAGAAUUUGGAAAAAUCUUGAGUACCCAUCGAGACAACAAUAGUGGGUCUUACCAACUAAUCGCUCGAGCAUUUGAUCGAUGAAGGGAAGUGGAAAAUAGUUUUUCUGAGUAGCUGCAUUCAACUUCCUGUAAUAGAUGCAAACCCUCCAUGCAUUCUGGACUCGGGUAGGGACUAGCUCUCCUGAUGACUUUUUCACCACUGCCACGCCAGUUUUCUUGGGCACGACAUGAACCGGGCUAACCCAAACACUAUCGGAGAUCGAGUAUAUCAUUCCAGUAUCCAACAAUUUCUGAAUCUCCUUAUUUACUACCUCUAUCAUGGGUGGAUUAAGGCACCUUUGAGCAUCUCUCUUUGGUUUCGUGUUAUCUUCGAUGGAAAUUUUGUGCAUACAAGUGGAUGGACUUAACCCUUUUAUGUCUGCUAUUGUCCAACCAAUAGCUUCCUUAUAAUUCCUAAGAACUCGAACUAGACUUUCCUCAUUGUCUUUGAUUAGUUUGUUUAACACUAUCACUGGUAAAGUGUCUUUCUCUCCCAAAAAGACGUUCUUGAGGUGGUCUGGUAAUGCUUUAAGCUCCAAGGUUGGUGGCUGCAAAACCGAAGGUAACAUUUUAGUUUGGUAAGGUAAUAGUUCAAAUUGGUUACCUCGAUUCAUCAACGAUGGUUGCGUCUCCAAGUGUUUGACAAUUUCUCACAACGGAUCUCCUAUAAUUGAUAAUUCCUUGAGACGACUUAAAACAUCCAUGUCAAUGCUUCUGUAAAUGACAGUUUCCAACUCAUCAUGGUCAUGAUAUUCAAAAUAAUAUUAAGUUAAAAAAUCUAUAAUAUCGAUACUAGAAAUACUUAAUAGUGAGUUAGGAUGACCCAUAGCUUUGUAGACAUUGAAUUUCACGAUUUCACCGUCAAACUCCAUUGUCAGUGUUCCGUACCGAACGUUAAUUUUUGUGCUUGCGGUACUUAGGAACGGUUUUCCAAGCAAAAUGUCAGAUGAAUUAGUUGAGUUAUCGUCCUCCAUAUUAAUAAUGUAGAAAUCUGAAGGGAAAACUAAUUCAUUAACUUUAACAAUGACGUCUUCAAGCAACCCUUUGGGAAAGACGACUGACCUGUUCUCUAACUGAAUUAUUACUCUUGUCUCUUUUAAAAGACCCGUGUUAAUCAACUUAUAAAUAGGAUAAGGCAUAAUAUUAAUGGAAGCCCCUAAAUCACACAUGGCUUUCUUAAUGCCUACAUUACCUAUCUCACAGAAAAUAAAAAACAUACAUUGGUCAUUGUAUUUGGGCGGAACUUUCUUUUGCAGUACGGCGGAGACAUUUUCUCCUACAUUUAGUCUUUCGUUACCUAUUAACCUCUUCUUUAUAGUACACAAAUUCCUUGAGGAAAUUUUCAAAACGAGGGAUUUGUUUGAUACCGUCAAGCAAAGUGAUAUUUACCUCCACCUUCCUGAAUGUUUCGAGGAUUUUUUUUCCUCCUUAUCUUUUUUAUCCCUUGCGAGCCUCUCUGGAAAAAGGAGGUGGCAUCACAACUAGUCUCUGAAUUUCUGAUUUCGGUCUGGCUUUUGGAUCAGAGAUCUAUUUUUCCCGUUCAUUGUCUUACCCAUGACUUUUGUCUGGAACUGUUUCCAGAACCUUUCCGCUACGAAGAGCUAUUGCACUUGUAUUCUGCCAGGGAUUCGGCUCUAUCUGGGAAGGUAAUUUACCUUGAGAUUCUAAAUAAUUAACCACCAUCGAGAUUUUACUAACUUGAUUAGUUAACUCUUGUAUUGAUGCAUCUGUCCUCUGUUAGUAUUUUACAGCAUCGAUGGUAAGUCUCUCCAUAAUAGCUUCUAGAGAUAUGCUCGGCUUGGGUUGUUGUUGUGGCGGUGGCGGAAGUCUUGGUUGGUAUGAUAGAUUGUACCGGUGAUUAGCUCCAUAAUUCAAGUUUGGAUGAUCAUUCCAUCCGGGAUUGUAGGUGUUAGAGAAAGGAUCAUAGCGUCUUUGCGAAGGUCUUGAAAAACCUCCGACAGCAUCAACAUGUGCCAUUGAAUUAUCGUUAAGGAUUGGGCAUAAAUUCGUUGGAUGUUCAUAUUCCACACAGUUGGGUCAGAUUCUUUUUUUUUGUAAGUAUAGAUUGAACAAUAUUAGUAAGCUUAUCCAAUUAUCUUCUAAGGAUGAAACGUUUACCUCAUUAACCCAUCUUGUGGGUUUUGGAUUUGGCCGAUACUGUUGAGAAUUUACCGUCAUGGUGGAUAUCAGUUCUCUUGCCCUUUGAGGAGUCAUAUUUACAAGUGCCCCUCCACUAGUAGUGUCAAUCAUCUUCAUUUCCAUAGGAAGCAAACCCUCGUAGAAAUACUGAAGAAAUGAUUGUUCGGUCAAACUAUGUUGAGGACAACUUGCACAUAGUUUUUUGUACUGCUCCCAAUAGUCGUAGAGCGAUUCACUCUCUAUUUGGCGAAUUCCUACUAUGUCUCUCCUAAGUUCAGCUGCUCACGAUUCUAGAAAGAAUCUGUCAAGAAAUACACGAGAUAAGUCAUCUCAUGUUGUAAUAGAACCGAGGGUAAAUAAAAUAACCAUUCUCUUGUUGUAUCAACUAAAGAAAAUCGAAAGGCCCGAAGUUUAAUUUCAUCUUCAGUUACUCCCUGAGGUUUCAUGCUUGAGCAGACCAUGUGGAAUUCUCUCAAGUGAGUGUGUGGAUUUUCGUUCUUCAAGCCUCGAAAAGUGGGCAAAAGGUGAAUUAGGCCUGAUUUCAACUCAAAUGGGGUUUCUCCGGUUGGAUAGUUGAUGCAUAACGGUGUUUGCUCGUUGGGAGCAGCGGCUAGUUGAUGAAUGGUUUGGUUUGCCAUCCUUUCUGGUUCACCGAGGUUAUCUUCUGCUUCUUUCAUUUCAGGAAGUGGUUUGGCCUCAGGUUUAACCACUUCGACUUAUUUCCCACGUCGAAUUGCCUCUACACGAAUUGCUUGACUCAACUUUUCGACUUCAGAUUCUAGGAUCCCUUGUCCUAGCUGAACUUCUACUUUACUUGCACGUUUAAGAGCUUCUGUCUCUUUUCAUCGUGCUCGUGCUAAUUUCUCGAUCUCUGGGUCGUAUUCGAGAUCUUCGGAUGAAGAUCAGGUCCUGAAAACGAUUUAAACAAUUGUAAGUGUUGCCAGUCCCCGACAACGGUGCCAAAACUAAUGGCUGUCGAUUCCACCAAUAUAAACCUACGCCUAAUUUACAAUUUAAGUAGUAUAGGGAGUAGGGUCGAUCAUUCAGAAACUGGGUUUACUGAAAAUUGUUUCUCUUUCUCGACUAGAUUUUUGUCUGGGCAGUUGUCGUGCCCAAGAAAUUUGGAGGAAGGAUAAAAUUGAAAACCCGGAACCUGAAAUAAACAAGAAAAAAAUGCGUGAAAAGUAAAAGCUGAAAAUAAAAUAAUAAAAAUAGUUAAAUAAAUCUGAAGAAAAAUUAAUUAAACUAAGCUUAGCUUUAGGCAUGGGUUUUUCCUCGUCUUUAAACCGAUCCUCGAAAUAAGAUGAACUCCUCUUUUCUAAUAAGCUAGUUAUAACUACCAAGGACACCUCGGACACCAACCCUUCAUUGUGUAAAUUAGUUAUGGAACGUCCAAUAACUAACCCUUACCAAUCGAACAACCAACGAAACGUUCGUGAUUUAGAACUCUGGCAGCUUUGCGUCCUAGAAGAGCCUAGCUCAAACCAAUGCCCUCAACCGCGUGGGACAUUUAAAUCCGAUUAAUACUUCCCUUGACGGAACCAAACAGCAUUCUCCACUUCACACGCCAAUGUGUUCACAGAAAACCGAUUAAACAAUCCAUCCUUUCGGAAUUCGAACUAUACGUCUAACCACACUAACUCAAAUGACGUCUUUUUUGACUUAGUGUUGAUUUGACAUUGUCAGUUGACGAAAUCAUACUCUUAAUCCGAAGAAACAAUAAGUACUAGAUUUUAGAAGUUAAUUUGUGUAGGUUCAUAACUCACGAAUCUUGACAAGGCUAACUCCGACCUAAAGCUGAAAAUGGAUUUAGUUGACUAAGGUUUGGGACAUGUUGGUAUUGGUCAUAAAUUAAAUAAGGUAAAAAUGGGUAAAAAGAAUGGGUGGCGUGAUUAAGUAUGAGGGCUGGAAUUUUGGUAAUGUAUUAGAGUGGGAUGGUUUGACUACUGGAAAUGAAAAGGAAGUUUGAAAAAGAAAUUGUAAAUGGUUUAAGUUGGUUACAAACUAGAAAUCAAUAAAUAAAAAGAAAAAAAAACAGAAACAACGAAUAGCUUCGUGAGAAUGAAGAAGAGAUUGCAUUCAAAGAGGAAAGCUUGAUUUAUGACUUGUUUUAUGACUUGAUGAAUAAAUGAACAAUGUAGCCCCCUAUUUAUACUAGUGGCUUUGCUAAAUUAAGAGCCACUAGCCAGAGAAAAUCAAGGAAAUAAAAUAUUCCAUGAUAUAAACAAUCCCUACAUAAUCUCCCACUAAGUCAACAAAAAUUUCAGCUAAUUAUAUUGAUUAAAUACUAAAGUUACAUAUUUUAUGUAAUUAAUUUGGUUAAUUUAUGAAAGUGCACCACUAAUUUUGCCAUAUUUAUUGAAUUUUGUGCAGGAAUGCAAUUUGGGGCUAAAUAGAAGAAAAAGGAAACAAUUAGGCUAGAUUGAAGAAAGAAGCAAAGAAUGAGGGCCAAAGAAGAAUUUUUCCAAAAUUAAUUAGCUGAAAUUUUUGAGUUAGUGGGAGAAUAUUUUGGGAUUUAUUUUAUUAUGGGAUAUUUUUCCUUAAUUUCCUAUGACUAGUUGGCUCCUAAUUUAGUAAAUCCUCUAGUAUAAAUAGAGCUUGUAUUGUUCAUCAUUUCAUCAAUCAAAAAAAUAUUAAGCUCUUGUCUUUCAAUACAUUCUCUCUUUUCUCACGUAGCAUUGUUGUUUCUUUAGUUUCCUUUCUUUCAAUUUUUUCCAGUAGCUAAUCACCAAAUCAAGCCAUUUGCAAUUUCUUUUUUUUUUCAAUUCUUUUCCAAAUAGUCAACCACCCCACUUUAAUAUAUUCCAACCCCCAUACUCAAUCACAUCACCCAUCUUUUCACCCAUUUACCUUAAUUAAUUUAUCAAAUACCAACAUGUCCCAAACCUUAGCCAACUAAACCCAUUUUCAGCUUUAGGCCGAAAUUAGCCUCGUCAAAACCAGUGAGUUACGAACCCGAGCCAUUUAACUCCUAAAAUUCCAGUACUUAUUACUUCUCCAGAUUAAGAGUGUGAUUUUGUCAGCUCAUAAAGUCAGAUAAACACUAAGUCAAAAAAGACGUCGUUUUAUUUAGUGUGGUUAGACGUACAGUUGGAAUUCUGAAAGGAACGUUUCCAAUCAGUUUUCUGUGAACACAUUGGUGUGCCAAGUGGAGAUUGCUGUUUGGUUCCGUCAAGGGAAGUAGUAGCCGGAUUUAAAUGUCCCACGCGGUUGAGCACAUUGGUUCGAGCUAGGCUCUUCUAGAACGCAAAGCUGCCGGAGUUCUAAAUCACGAACGUUUCGUGGUUGUUCGAUCGGUAAGGAUUAGUUAUUGGACGUUCUAUAACUAAUUUACACAAGGAAGAGUUGGUGUCCGAGGCGUCCUUGGUAGCUAUAACUAGCUUAUUAGAAAAGAGGAGUUCAUCAAAUUUCGAGGAUCGGUUCAAAGACGAGGAAAAUUCGUGUCUAAAGCUGAGCUCAUUCUAAUUAAUUUUUCUUAAUAUUUAUUUCACGGUUUUUAUUAUUCUGUUUUCAACCUUUACUUUUGACGUUAUUUUUCUGUUAAUUUCAGGUUUUCAAAUUUUUAUCCCCCCGAACGUCUUAGGCACGACAGCUACCCCGACAUAAAUCUGGUCAAGCGAGCAACAAUUUACAGUAAACCAGUCUCUGAGGGAUCGACCCUACUCCCUAUACUGCAUAAUUUGCAAAUUAAGGCGUAGGUUUAUAUUGGUGGAUUCGACACCCAUCAGUUUUGGCACCGUUGCCGGGGGACUGGCAAUACUUAUAAUUGUUUAAAUUAUCUUCAUGACCAGAUCUUCAUCCGGAGAUCUCGAAUACGACCCAGAGAUCGAAAAAUCAGCACGAGCACGACGAAAAGAGAUAGAGGCUCUUAAAGAUGCAAGUAAAGAAGAAGUUGAGCUAGGACAAGGGCUCUUAGAAACCGACAUUGAAAAGUUGAGACUAGCAAUUCGAGUAGAGGCAAUUCGACGUGGAAAACAAGUCGAAGUGGUUGAUCCUGAAACCGAACCACUUCCUGCAACAAAAGAAGUAGAAGACAACCUCGGUGAACCAGAAAGGAUGGCGAACCGAACCAUUCGUCAACUAGCCGCUGCUCCCAACGAGCAAACACCGUUAUGCAUCAACUAUCCAAUCGGAAAAACCCUAUUCGAGUUGACGUCAAGCCUGAUCCACCUUUUGCCCACUUUUCGAGGCUUGAAGAAUGAGAAUCCAUAUACCCACUUGAGAGAAUUCCAUAUGGUUUGCUCAAGCAUGAAACCACAGGAAGUAACCGAAGAUGAAAUUAAACUUCGGGCCUUUCCUUUUUCUUUUGUUGAUACAGAAAAAGAAUGGUUAUUUUACUUACCUCCAGGUUCUAUUACAACGUGGGAUGACUUAUCUCGUGUAUUUCUUGAUAGAUUCUUUCCAGCAUCGCGAGCAACUGAACUUAGGAGAGACAUAGUGGGAAUUCGCCAAAUGGAGAGUGAAUUGCUCUACGACUAUUGGGAGCGGUACAAAAAACUGUGUGCAAGUUGUCCUCAACACGGUUUGACCGAACAAUCACUUCUUCAAUAUUUUUACGAGAGUUUGCUCCCUAUGGAAAUAAAAAUGAUUGACGCAGCUAGUGGAGGGGUGCUCGUCAAUAUGACUCCUCAAAGGGCAAGAGAACUGAUAUCCACUAUGGCGGCAAAUUCUCAACAGUAUCGGCCAAAUUCAAAACCCACAAGACAGGUUAAUGGGGUAAACGUUUCAUCCUUAGAAGAUAAAUUGGAUAAGGUCACUAAUGUUGUUCAAUCUAUGCUUACAGAAAAGAAGAAUCGGACCCAACUGUGUGGGAUAUGUACUACGUCUGAACAUUCGACGGAUUUGUGCCCAAUCCUUAAUGAAUAUUUAACGGCACAUGUCGACGCUGUCGGAGGUUUUCCAGGACCUCCACAAAAACGCUAUGAUCCUUUCUCCAACACCUACAAUCCCGGGUGGAAAGAUCAUCCCAACUUGAAUUACGGAGCUAAUCCCUGAUAUAAUCCGUCAUACCAACCGAGACCUUUGCAACCACCGCAACUGCCACUCAAGCCGAGCACAUCUCUAGAAGCUAUUGUGGAAAGACUUACCGUCGAUGCUGUGAAAUAUCAACAGAGGAUAGAUGCAUCAAUUCAGGAGUUAACUAAUCAAGUUAGUAAACUCUCGAUGGCAGUUAAUCGUUUGGAAUCUCAAGGUAAAUUACCUUCCCAGACAGAGCCGAAUCCUCGGCAGAAUGCAAGUGCAAUAACUCUUCGUAGCGGAAAAGUUCUGGAAACAGUUCCAGACAAAAGUCAUGGGCAAGACAAUGAACGGGAAAAAUAUAUCUCUGAUCCAAAAGCCAGACCAAAAUCAGAAAUUCAGGAACCAGUUGUGGUGCCACCUCCUUUUCCAGGGAGACUCGCGAAGGAUAAGAAAGAAAAGGAGGAAAAAGAAAUCCUCGAAACGUUCAAGAAAGUGGAGGUGAAUAUCCCUUUGCUCGAUGCCAUCAAACAAAUCCCUCGUGAUGCAAAAUUUCUCAAGGAAUUGUGCACUAGCAAAAGGAGGUUAAUAAGUAACGAAAGAGUAAAUGUAGGAGAAAAUGUCUCCGCGGUACUACAAAAGAAAGUUCCGCCUAAAUACAAGGACCAAUGUAUGUUUGCUAUUUCCUGUGAGAUAGGUAAUGUAGGCAUUAAGAAAGCCAUGUGUGAGUGAGGGGCUUCCAUUAAUGUUAUGCCUUAUCCUAUAUAUAAGUUGAUUAACGCGGGUCCUUUGAAAAAGACAGGAGUAAUAAUCCAGUUGGCAGACAGGUCAGUCAUCUAUCCCGAAGGGUUGCUUGAAGACGUCCUUGUUAAAGUUAACGAAUUAGUUUUCCCUGCAGAUUUCUACAUUAUUAAUAUGGAGGACGAUAACUCAACUAAUUCGUCUGAUAUUUUGCUUGGAAGGCCAUUCUUAAGAACCGCAAGCGCAAAAAUUAAUGUUCAGAGUGGAACAUUAACAAUGGAGUUUGAUGGCGAAAUCAUGAAAUUCAAUGUCUACGAAGCCAUGAGUCAUCCUAACUCAUUGUCAAAUAUUUCCAGUAUCGAUAAUAUAGAUUGUUUAACUCAAAAUUAUUCUGAAUAUCAUGACUUUGAUGAGUUGGAAACUGUCCUUUACAGAAGCAUUGACAUGGAUGUAUUGAGUCGUCUUGAGGAGUUAGCAGUUAUAGAAGAUCCGUUGCGAGAAACUGUCAAACACUUGGAGACUCAACCAUCGUCGGCGAGUCGAGGUAACCAUUUUGAACUAUUACCUUCCCAAGUUAAAAUGUUGCCUUCGAUUUUGUAGCCACCAACCUUGGAGCUUAAAGCGUUACCAGACGACCUCAAGUAUGUCUUUUUGGGAGAGAAAGAUACCUUACCGGUAAUAGUGUCAAAUAGACUAACCAAAGACGAGGAGGAAAGUCUAGUUCGAGUUCUGAAGGAUUAUAAGGAAGCUAUUGGUUGGACAAUAGCUGACAUAAAAGGGCUAAGUCCGUCCACUUGUAUGCACAGAAUUUCCAUCGAAGAUAACACAAAACCAAAGAGAGAUGCUCAGAAGCGCCUUAAUCCACCCAUGACGGAGGUAGUAAAGAAGGAGAUCCAGAAAAUGUUGGAUGCUGGAAUGAUAUACCCGAUCUCUGACAGUGAUUGGGUUAGCCCAGUUCAUGUCGUGCCCAAGAAAACUGGCGUGACAGUGGUGCAAAAUUCAUCAGGAGAGCUAGUUCCUACUCGAGUCUAGAAUGGAUGGAGGGUUUGCAUCGAUUACAGAAAGUUGAAUGCAGCUACCCAGAAGGACCAUUUCCCACUUCCCUUCAUCGAUCAAAUGCUCGAGCGAUUAGCUGGUAAGACUCAUUAUUGUUGUCUCGAUGGAUAUUCAGGAUUUUUCCAAAUUCCGAUGGCGCCUGAAUAUCAAGACAACAACUUUCACGUGCCCCUUUUGAAUGUUUGCGUAUAGACGAAUGCCGUUUGGACUCUGUAAUGCUCCGGCCACCUUUCAGAGAUGCAUGGUAAGCAUAUUCUCCGAUUACGUCGAGAAAAUCAUUGAAGUCUUCAUGGAUGACUUCACGGUGUACGGUAACUCUUUUAAUGAAUGUCUCGAUAAUCCUGCUAAGAUAUUACAAAGAUGCCUAGAAUUUAAUCUUAUUUUAAAUUAUGAAAAAUGCCACUUCAUGGUUGACAAAAGAUUAAUUUUAGGCCAUAUAGUUUCCUCAGAAGGUAUUGAGGUUGAUAAAGUAAAAACGGAUAUUAUUAACUCAUUACCUUACCCCACAUCUGUGAGGGAAAUUCGUUCGUUUCUUGGGCGUGCAGGAUUUUACAGACGAUUCAUAAAAGACUUCUCAAAGAUCGCGCAACCGCUUUGUAGUCUGUUACAGAAGGAUAAAGAAUUUAAAUUUGACCAGACUUGUAAAGAUGCAUUUGACGUACUGAAGCAGAAAUUGGUCUCCGCCCCUAUAGUACAACCACCAAAUUGGAACUUCCCCUUCGAAAUUAUGUGUGAUGCAAGUGAUCGAAGUGUGGGAGCUGUUCUUGGCCAAAGAAUAGGGAAAGAGCCUCAUGUUAUCUACUACGCUUCGAAAACCUUGGAUGCUGCCCAAAGCAAUUACACAACCACCGAGAAAGAAUUAUUAGCUGUUGUGUUUGCUUUAGAUAAAUUUAGAUCUUACCUGUUGGGAACUAAAGUAAUUAUAUUUUCUGAUCAUGCAGCUUUGAAGUAUUUAAUAGGGAAGAAUGAGGCAAAACCUCGACUGAUCAGGUGGAUUCUACUUCUGCAAGAAUUUGAUUUUGAAAUUCGAGAUAGAAAAGGAUGCGAAAACUUAGUAGCUGACCAUCUGAGUCGAUUACCGAUUCCAGUAGACGACACACCAUUGAAAGACAACUUCCUAGAUGAAAACCUAUUUUCAGCAAAUGCGGUUCAUCCUUGGUACGCAGAUAUAGUAAACUAUCUUGUCACAGGUACUAUACCUUCAGAAUUACCAAUGUUUAAAAAAGAUAAGAUUAAAAAGGACGCUCGAUAUUACAUUUGGGACGAUCCUUACCUAUGGAAGCAUUGCUCCGAUCAGGUAAUCCGACGGUGUGUAACAGAAACAGAGGUACAGUCUAUCCUUGCCUAUGGAAGCAAUGCUCCGAUCAGGUAAUCCAACGGUGUGUAGCAGAAACAGAGGUACAGUCUAUCUUAACUUUUUGUCAUUCUUAUGCAUGUGGAGGACACUUUGGACCCAAACGCACCGCACACAAAAUUCUAAAGUGUGGACUAUUUUGGCCAAACAUAUUUCGUGAUGCCUUCUUAUUCUGUAAAACCUGUGAAAGAUGCCAAAAAGUCGGUAACCUUAGUCGACGAAAUGAGAUGCCCCUUACUCCUAUCCAUAUUUGUGAAAUUUUUGAUGUGUGGGGCAUCUAUUUUAUGGGUCCUUUUAUUUCUUCUUUCGGUAAUUUUUAUAUACUCUUAGCUCUUGAUUACGUUUCUAAGUGGAUAGAGGCAAAUGCUACUCGCAAUGAUAAUGCUAAGACUGUGGUUGACUUUCUUAAAAGUUCUAUCUUUUCCAGGUAUGGCACCCCACGAGCAUUAAUCAGCGACAGAGAAACUCAUUUCUGCAAUAAACUCGUAAGUGCACUUAUGGAAAAAUAUGGAGUGACUCAACGAAUUGCCACUGCCUACCAUCCACAAACAAACGGACAAGCUGAAGUGUCAAAUCGAGAAAUCAAGUCCAUACUGGAGAAGACUGUUAAACCUAACAGAAAGGAUUGGAGCUUGAGACUAAACGACGCACUUUGGGCUUAUAGGACAGCUUACAAGGGUCCAAUAGGCAUGUCACCUUAUCGACUUGUUUUUGGUAAACCGUGCCAUCUCCCGGUCGAAUUAGAGCAUAAAGCAUUUUGGGCAGUUAAGCAGUGUAAUAUGGAGAUGGAGAUCGCAGGAAGAGCUCGAAAGUUGGACAUUCAGGGACUUGAGGAAAUUAGAAACGAUGCAUAUGAAAAUGCUCGAGUUUAUAAAGAAAAGAUGAAGGCGUUCCACGAUAAGAUGAUCACUAGGAAGCGGUUUUCAAUAGGACAAAAAGUUCUCCUAUACGACUCCACCUUAAAAAUUUUUGCUGGUAAGCUUCGAUCCAAAUGGAUAGGUCCAUUUACUACCACUAAUUUAUUCUCAAAUGGUGCAGUGGAAAUUCAAAGCGAAGAAACCCGGAAGUGCUUUAAGGUGAAUGGACAACGAUUGAAACCCUUCUACGAGAAUUUUCAAACGCACACGAUUGAGGAGAUUGUUCUCGAGGAGCCCGAAAAUUGAAUAAUAGGUCGUCGAGCUAACGACGUUAAACAUAGCGCUGUUGGGAGGCAACCCAAAUUUUCUUUUCCUUUAUGCAAAUAAAAUUUUUGGUAAAAUGGAAAAUGAAAAUGCAUGUCGAGGAUUAGUUCUGUCUAAGGAAAGACUUGGUACUUAAGUAUGUCCAUUGUGACUCACCUCUCUUUCCUGGGAACUUACUUGGCACAUUCAUCACUACUGUUUUACCAAAUCUCGUAAUCUUGGUUUUUAAUAAUUUAUUUCUCGAGUUUAUAGCUUAGCUAAUAAAUUUGAAAAAAAAACAUUUUAAUUUUCCUAUUAUUAUUAUUAUUUAUUUUUACUAUUUUAUUUUAUUUUUAUUUUUAUUUUUACAGGAAACAUUCCAAGACAAAAUUAAAUUCCACAUGUCAACCUUCUUUUUAUUUCAGCCAAGGCCCACUCUAUCUACGAGACCACCCUCCAUGACAUUGAAAUACAUGAGGAGUUUCUUUUUUCUCUCUUUCUCCUACUUAUCUUUACUUUUAUUCUUUAAAUUACAUUGGGACAAUGUAAAAUAAGUAGGGGGAAGGAAACAUAAAUUGGUUCUAAUAUGAUUAUCUGUCAUCACUAUUUUUGCAUGUUUUUGGUAAAAGGUAAAAUUUUUCUUUUGAUAAAUUGGGAUGGUACACUUAUGGUUUGACCUAUUUAGCUAUUUAAUUCUUUACACAUGGAACUUUUCAAUAACCUAGACUUAGUGGGUAAGAAAUUUUUAGGAAUUAUAAGUUUGCUUGACUGCCUACUUUUUAUCAUAUGUCAAAUUUUUGAAUGUCAAAAAAAAAAAAUACUCCUUUGAUACGAAUGUUAAGAGUGAAAAAUUGAGGUUUUACAUCGGGCUGAGUAACCGGAACAUGGUGCUUGGGUUGUCAUCAUGUCUCGCGUAAAAAGGUUCAUGUGGCUGCCCAAUUUCUUUGCACUCACUCCGCUAACAAGUUAUCAUGAGUAGGGCGAAAUAACCCGCUUAGAGACGUCCGAAUUGAGUAACCGGAAUAUGGUGCUUGGGUUGUCAUCAUGUCUCGCGUCAAAAAAUUUGAAAAUGCCCUAAGUAAAAAAAUAAUAAAAUGAAAGGUAAGCCUAUCAAGCUCUCAUAAAUUCUGAAAUAUAUUUACUUACUUCUUAGGCUAGGCUAUUUGAGAUGUUAAUGUGCUAGGAUUAAAUUGUUGAAAUGUGCAAACCAUGGGGGUCAAGUCCUAUUUUGGAGAAAAUUUUUCCUUUUGCAGAUACAUACAAAAUGCUCGAGGACUAGCAUAAGCUAAGUGGGGGGAAUUGAUUAAAUACUAAAGUUACAUAUUUUAUGUAAUUAAUUUGGUUAAUUUAUGAAAGUGCACCACUAAUUUUGCCAUAUUUAUUGAAUUUUGUGCAGGAAUGCAAUUUGGGGCUAAAUAGAAGAAAAAGGAAACAAUUGGGCUAGAUUGAAGAAAGAAGCAAAGAAGGAGGGCCAAAGAAGAAUUUUUCCAAAAUUAAUUAGCUGAAAUUUUUGAGUUAGUGGGAGAAUAUUUUGGGAUUUAUUUUAUUAUGGGAUAUUUUUCCUUAAUUUCCUAUGACUAGUUGCCUCCUAAUUUAGUAAAUCCUCUAGUAUAAAUAGAGCUUGUAUUGUUCAUCAUUUCAUCAAUUAAAAAAAUAUUAAGCUCUUGUCUUUCAAUACAUUCUCUCUUUUCUCACGUAGCAUUGUUGUUUCUUUAGUUUCCUUUCCUUCAAUUUUUUCCAGUAGCUAAUCACCAAAUCAAGUCAUUUGCAAUUUCUUUUUUUUUUUCAAUUCUAUUCCAAAUAGUCAACCACCCCACUUUAAUAUAUUCCAACCCCCAUACUCAAUCACAUCACCCAUCUUUUCACCCAUUUACCUUAAUUAAUUUAUCAAAUACCAACAUGUCCCAAACCUUAGCCAACUAAACUCAUUUUCAGCUUUAGGCCGAAAUUAGCCUCGUCAAAACCUGUGAGUUACGAACCCGAGCCAUUUAACUCCUAAAAUUUCAGUACUUAUUACUUCUCCGGAUUAAGAGUGUGAUUUUGUCAGCUCAUAAAGUCAGAUAAACACUAAGUAAAAAAAGACGUCGUUUUAUUUAGUGUGGUUAGACGUAUAGUUGGAAUUCCGAAAGGAACGUUUCCAAUCGGUUUUUUGUGAACACAUUGGCGUGCCAAGUGGAGAUUGCUGUUUGGUUCUGUCAAGGGAAGUAGUAACCGGAUUUAAAUGUCUCACGCGGUUGAGCACAUUGGUUCGAGCUAGGCUCUUCUAGAAUGCAAAGCUGCCGGAGUUCUAAAUCACGAACGUUUCGUGGUUGUUCGAUUGGUAAGGGUUAGUUAUUGGACGUUCCAUAACUAAUUUACACAAGGAAGAGUUGGUGUCCGAGGCGUCCUUGGUAGCUAUAACUAGCUUAUUGGAAAAGAGGAGUUCAUCCAAUUUCGAGGAUCGGUUCAAAGACGAGGAAAAUUCGUGUCUAAAGCUGAGCUCAUUCUAAUUAAUUUUUCUUAAUAUUUAUUUCACGGUUUUUAUUAUUCUGUUUUCAACCUUUACUUUUGACGUCAUUUUUCUGUUAAUUUCAGGUUUUCAAAUUUUUAUCCCCCCGAACGUCUUGGGCACGACAGCUGCCCCGACAUAAAUUUGGUCAAGCGAGCAACAAUUUACAGUAAACCAGUCUCUGAGGGAUCGACCCUACUCCCUAUACUGCAUAAUUUGUAAAUUAAGGCGUAGGUUUAUAUUGGUGGAUUCGACACCUAUCAUAUAUCUUGGAAAUAUUCUGCUUUGGCCCUCCUACUUUGCUUCUUUCUUCAAUCUAGUCCAAUUGUUUCCUUUUCCUUCUAUUUAGCCCAAAAUUGCACCGCUGCACAAAAUUCAACAUAAACAUGGAAAAAAUCAGUGGUGCACUCUCAUAAAUUAACCAAUUUAAUUACAUAAAAUAUGUAAUUUUAGCAUUUAAUCAACCCAUUUUAUCCAUUCUAACUAGAAAUUCUAUCAAUCAAACCCUAAUUCAACAAUUUGUUCAACAUGAAUCAUAUUAAAAAAUCUAAUAACUUUCAAAAUUUUAACUUAAAUUCAACAAAACUUUGUUUUAAGACCUCUAAAACAUCAAAAUUAAAAGAAAAGGACUUGAUUAACUUACCAAAUUAAAGCUUAAAGCCUCAAACCCUAGUUUUUCCCUUUUCUUUUCUUUCCCCUUUCCUUUCUUUCUUUUUCAUCUAUUAUUUGUUUCUUCUUUCUAUUUUGUUUCCCUUUCAUUUCAUUUCAUUUUCUUUUAUUUGUUUUGUUUUAUUUUAAUUAUAAUAAUAUAAUAUAUAUUUACUUAAUUAAUAACCAAUACAUAUUUUAUUAUGAAAUACAUAUGUUUAUUAUUAUUACACAUGUAUUUACCAACACCACUCACUUGUCUAUUAUCAUCACGAUACACUUGUCUUAAUUUUAAUUUAUUCCAUAAUAUAAUAAUAUAAUUAAUAUAAAUUAUAAUUUUGUAACACCCCAAACCCGUCCUGGACGUUAUGGCCAAAUCUGGCGAUGUCACAUUGAAGUGCAUUUGAAAACCGUAUCAUUGCUAAAAUCAUUAUCCGUUUAGAACUUAUCAUUAUCUUUCAUUAAUUCUCAAAUCGUGAUUCAUUUCCAAAACGCUAUACUUUGCGGAAGCUUUUAAAAUAGCUUGCGUGUGCGUGGUAUUUUGAUAAAACAUUCAUCUCUUUUAAAAACCUGAGUUUUACCUACCUCUAGCAGAUAUAAACAGAAAAUAGUAGAAAAUCCAAAUUUUAGGUAAAAAAUCCAUAGAGGCCAUUAUUACAGAAAAAUACCCCAAAAUAAAACUUAAAAUUGUAAAUAAGUAUCAAAUAGAAAAAAUGAGUCAUGUGGCCACCGCUGAGUCCUCCACCACACCGAUCCACCUAUGUCUGGGGCUUACCUGUACAGAUUAAAUAGAAAGGGUAAGUUUACGUAAACUUAGUGUGUAAUCCCCAUACAAACAAAUAGACAAUAACAGAUAAUCUCAGUUUGGGCCUAAGCCCUUUUCAGUAUCAGUAAGCAUUAGGGCCUUAGCCCAUCACAGUACAGUAACAGUGACAGUUAUGCGGUUAUAAAUCCUACCCAACCAGCCUCUAUACUCCAUCUCCAUCCAACCCUACACUCUAUGUGGGGAUAUAAUCAACCCACCUAUCCCUACACUCCAAAUAGUACCGAAUGCGGCACUAAACAGUAGUUGCAGCUAAGCUGCCAGUAAGUUAGGCUUGAAGCCAUUCAGUACACUUCCUCCAAUCAAUAUAGUGUAUACAGCAUGCUCAACAUACAAACAUACAUAUCUAUCUUAUAUAGGCAUAUAACAGUCUUUCAAUCAUUUCAGUCAAUUAGGGGUCUAAGUAAACUUACCCACCCUACAGUAGGUUCACAGUCGACUUGGACAACCCGUGCAACCUUAGCAGUCAAUGAGUGAAAAUGGGCCCACAGGCCUAUGUUGCAUCCCAUGUAGGCCCACAUGCUCGUGUGGCCCACACGGCCCAAAAUGGCCUUGGCCGUAUGGAUCACACGGUCUAUCACAAUAUUCUUACAUGUCCGUGUGGUUUAUCUGUACGUGGCCCACACGCCCGUAUGGCCCAUACGGCGUAUUUCAGCUCAGCCCAUGAAUCGCAUAUAGCCGGCCUCGUUGAUCACACGCUUAUGUUCGAUCACACGACCUACCACAUAGGCAGCCGCACACCCGUGUGACGUCAACAAUUACAUUUUUUGGCUUUUCGCCUAUUUCUGUUUUCAGAGUUGUGUUUACACACCUGGUUCGUUUGUGACGUAAAAACACUUCCAAGAUCCCUAGCACUUAUGGUCAACAACCAAACCCCACAAUCAGUCCUAAUUCCUAGUUAACUUGAAACCAAAAUAUUGACAAUGAUUCGUUCAAUCCAUUCGUUACCUACCUUUAAAACCGAGCAACCCCCAACUAUGGAUCCGAACGAGAUAGGUCACCACUCCCACAAUUCACUGCUGACAAAUCUGAUAGACCCAAUAAGACAACAAUUCACAUCUUCAUAGCUUAAAAGAAUAGAAAAGCUUCCCCUAAUUCACCAAACACAAUCACCUUACUUACUAAACGAAUGACGGCAGAACCACACCGCUCCAAUGCUAAUCGAUUCGUUCUGGCCCUUAACCUUCAACAAUGAAGCAGUUGACCUAUCACCAAAAAUCCAUAAACCAAAUAACACCACAGUUACAAAACUUACCACCAAUGCACAAAAACAAAACGGAGAUGACAAAUUGCGGCAAUAAAGAUUUGAGAAGGAAAUGGACUACUAAAAAAACCAAAGCAGGGAGAGAAGGAAAUUUUCAGCGGUAGUCGACAACAAACAAAAAGAGGAGAAAAGAAAGGCCAAUGGCAUAAUUCGCAGAGAGAAUAAUAGCCAAGUAAAAAAAUAGAGGAGGAAAAACAGUCGGCUGCAAGGGAGAGAAAAGAAUCGGCAAAGAAAAUGAAGGGGAAGGAUGAAAAGAGGGAGAAGAUUCAACCAAGGGAGGAGGGGGACGUUUGCUCACCUUAAUUAACUCCCCCUAUCCCUAAAUUUGGGAAGCACAGAAUUCCACUCAAUUACCACUACCCCCUAAAUCCCUUAAUUAACUCCCCCUAUCCCUUAAUUUCACUCCCCAAUCGUCCACCACAAUCCCCUCAACCAUCGAAUUCAAACCCCACUCAAAACACCCUCACGACACAAGCAGUAAAAAUAAAUCUCAUGUUUGAGUAAGAACUUGAACUCCAAACCUCCUACUCAAUUGCAAUCCACUUAACCACCAAACCAACAAACUCAUUUUAAUGUAUUUUACCAAUAUUUAUUUAUAAGCCUACUGACUAGAGAUAGAGGUUUAUUCAUUUAAAAACAAAAAAUUUUCCCAAGCUAAUGCUUGAACUUGGGACCUCCCAAAUAUUCCCAAAAUACAUAGCUAUUAAAAUUGACAGAUAUUUUUGAUACAAAUAUACGAAAAUAAAUAUAUAAGAGAUUUUUGGGACGUUACAAAUUUUGAAUAAAUAAUAAUAUAUCUAAUUAAUUAACAUAAAUAUCUAAGAUUUUUAUACACAUUUGCCGCCUCAUUUAAUGGAAUAGGCUUAAUUGCCUAUUUAGUCCCUACUAUUUUCUUUUAAUCUAUAAUUAAACUUUUGCACCUUAUUCUAUUUAGUCCUUUUUCCUAAUUUCUCUUAUUUAAACUAAAUUCAUCCAAUUAAAACUUAAUCGGGCACAUCACUAGACUCAUAAUUACUCCUAAUAAUUAUUUACGGACUCGGUUUACUAAGACGAAGGCCCGAUAUUGCACUUUUUCGAUGCCCAUGAAUUUUGGGUCAUUACAUAUUGUAGAUAGACACUAAUCUUAGUUUAUGUAAUUCAAUCUAUACCGAAAGAUUUGGGUAUGCUUUUUAUGUCUACAAUUCUUUCGUGGGUAUGCUUAUAUUACUUUUUGUGUAGUGUCUUGUUUUACAUAGUUUAUAAUUGUCCCAACGAAUUUAAUUUAGAAUUUCUUUUUUUUUGUUUAUUCUGUGUGUUGUGUCAAUUUAUUUAUUUAUUUAUUUAAAAUGUUUUUUUUAUGUUCUAUUUUUUUUUCAUUUGUAAGCUUUUAUAAGAUUAUAUUUAUUUAUACAUUAAUACUUUUUCUUAUGUAAAAUUUUGUACGUUAACAUAUUUUUAUCGUAUUUACUUUAUUUUCCAUGACACGAUAUUUUUAAUUAUUUUUAAUACUUCUAUAUCAUGUUUUAAUUCGACAAUGUUCAUAGUUUUAUGAAAAUAAUUCUAUUUUAUUCUAAAUCAUGAUAAUGAUAUGGGCACCCAAACCGCAAACUUCACUACAAAACCCCAAAAACACAGAGAGCAAAGUCAAAACUCUUAACGAAAGACAUGAUGGAAUUGGCGAUGGAAACACAGAACAGAACAGCGACACCUUAAUUAAGUCCCCUACAUCAUUCUCUCAACAUAAACCAAAGGAUUAAGUCUCCAUUAGAAUAGGUUUUAUUUGUUUAUUCUCAUUUAUUUAUUUUGAUAAAUCAACAUAAACAACAACCCAAAUGUUGAUUUACAACCUUAACUUUAAGCAAUUAAACGAUAAGUCGGCUUUACAAGUAAAUGAUUAGCCCUCGGCAACGAAAGGCCGAACUUCUCGGUCAUGUCGAGUUCAAUAGGCAACAUCCCAUCAGGCAACUCCCAAUCAAAGCAAUGGGCUAAUUGAGCUAAAAUAAGACGCAUGCUGAUUAGAGCUAACUGCAUUCCGGGACAUCCUCUACGACCGGUUCCGAACGGAAUGAGUUCGAAAUCAUGCCCUCGAAGGUCUAUCUUCCUAUCCUUGAAUCUUUCUGGAAAGAACUCUUCGGCAUUGCUCGACCAUAUCUUGGGGUUUCGCCCCAUGGACCAAGUGUUCACCAAAAGCCGCGACUUCUUAGGUAUGAAAUACCCAUUAACGGUGACAUCUUCGGUCGACUCGUGCGGGACUAACAACGGUGCCGCCGGAUGCAACCUGAAACUCUCUUUGAUGACCAUAUCCAAAUAGGCAAGUUUCGGUAGGUCCGACUCUUCUACCAUUCUAUUCCUUCCGACAACACUUUCUAGCUCUUUCUGGAGAGCAACCAUGACUCGAGGAUGCUUUAGAAGUUCUGUAAAUGUCCACUCAAUGGCCGUGGAUGUAGUGUCGAAGGAAGCUGCCACCAUGUCCACCAUUAUAGCCUUGAUGUUUUCUCUACCAAUGAUGUAGGGUUGAUCUUUAUCGUUAGGGUUUAUGGGUGUAUCCAACAACGAAACCAUCACUUGAAAGAAACUUCUAUAAGGUUUUUGGUCAUCCAUGUUAAUCCCUUGUUGGUAUUCAUCUAUCAUUUUCUCAAAAAAUUCGUGAAGGCCACUACUCACCUUCUUAAGCCUUCUUGUAUAUCCCUGCAGCGUAAAGAUAGAUAUGAUAGAAUCAGUUUUAUAUUAAUUGUAUUUUUCAUUAUAAUUAUUCUUUGUGAAAAAACCAACGAGUCAUUCAACCAAAUAUUAAGACUUCCGAGUUUCACUCUGCAUCUUAUAAGAUUACUAUAACACAAUUUAUUAUGCUUUAAAAUUGGUAUUACUAUUAGUACGAAAAAAUAAAUAAAUUAUGAAAAAGAAAAAUAGUACAUAAAAAAACAGGAUAUAAGGAGGAAAAAAAAAACGUUACCUGAAGAUCAAGUGGAGCAAGGAAAGGCACAUAAUCCGAGAGAUUGAAAACCCCAGAUAAGUGCAGGGCCUCAUCAACCAGCGGCUUAAAAUCGAUUUUAUCAUACAUGGACCGCCCGAAUAACACUUUCGACAUCAUUUCUUCAAGAACCUUAGCCACCGCCUGGCUAAGGUUUAUUGUUUCACCCGCCGCCGCUACCUUCCUCACUGAUUCAACCAAUAACCCCACCUCCGCCUUCCUUAUCGGGGCAAAACAUUCAACUUUGGAAGCACUGAGGAAAUGCAAAAUAC
rnacentral:lncRNA from 1 species